rnacentral:rRNA from 1 species
UGAGGUAAUGGCUCACCAAGGCGACGACGGGUAGCCGGCCUGAGAGGGCGACCGGCCACACUGGGACUGAGACACGGCCCAGACUCCUACGGGAGGCAGCAGUGGGGAAUAUUGCACAAUGGGCGAAAGCCUGAUGCAGCGACGCCGCGUGAGGGAUGACGGCCUUCGGGUUGUAAACCUCUUUCAGCAGGGAAGAAGCGAAAGUGACGGUACCUGCAGAAGAAGCGCCGGCUAACUACGUGCCAGCAGCCGCGGUAAUACGUAGGGCGCAAGCGUUGUCCGGAAUUAUUGGGCGUAAAGAGCUCGUAGGCGGCUUGUCACGUCGGGUGUGAAAGCCCGGGGCUUAACCCCGGGUCUGCAUUCGAUACGGGCUAGCUAGAGUGUGGUAGGGGAGAUCGGAAUUCCUGGUGUAGCGGUGAAAUGCGCAGAUAUCAGGAGGAACACCGGUGGCGAAGGCGGAUCUCUGGGCCAUUACUGACGCUGA